rnacentral:rRNA from 1 species
AAAUUGAAGAGUUUGAUCAUGGCUCAGAUUGAACGCUGGCGGCAGGCCUAACACAUGCAAGUCGAACGGUAACAGGAAGCAGCUUGCUGCUUUGCUGACGAGUGGCGGACGGGUGAGUAAUGUCUGGGAAACUGCCUGAUGGAGGGGGAUAACUACUGGAAACGGUGGCUAAUACCGCAUAACGUCGCAAGACCAAAGAGGGGGACCUUCGGGCCUCUUGCCAUCAGAUGUGCCCAGAUGGGAUUAGCUAGUUGGUGAGGUAACGGCUCACCAAGGCGACGAUCCCUAGCUGGUCUGAGAGGAUGGCCAGCCACACUGGAACUGAGACACGGUCCAGACUCCUACGGGAGGCAGCAGUGGGGAAUAUUGCACAAUGGGCGCAAGCCUGAUGCAGCCAUGCCGCGUGUAUGAAGAAGGCCUUCGGGUUGUAAAGUACUUUCAGCGGGGAGGAAGGUGUUGUGGUUAAUAACCGCAGCAAUUGACGUUACCCGCAGAAGAAGCACCGGCUAACUCCGUGCCAGCAGCCGCGGUAAUACGGAGGGUGCAAGCGUUAAUCGGAAUUACUGGGCGUAAAGCGCACGCAGGCGGUCUGUCAAGUCGGAUGUGAAAUCCCCGGGCUCAACCUGGGAACUGCAUUCGAAACU